rnacentral:rRNA from 17 species
UCUGGCGGCCUUAGCGCGGUGGUCCCACCUGACCCCAUGCCGAACUCAGAAGUGAAACGCCGUAGCGCCGAUGGUAGUGUGGGGUCUCCCCAUGCGAGAGUAGGGAACUGCCAGAC